rnacentral:rRNA from 1 species
CCUACGGGUGGCAGCAGUGAGGAAUAUUGGUCAAUGGACGAGAGUCUGAACCAGCCAAGUAGCGUGAAGGAUGACUGCCCUAUGGGUUGUAAACUUCUUUUAUAUGGGAAUAAAAUGUUCCACGUGUGGGAUUUUGUAUGUACCAUAUGAAUAAGGAUCGGCUAACUCCGUGCCAGCAGCCGCGGUAAUACGGAGGAUCCGAGCGUUAUCCGGAUUUAUUGGGUUUAAAGGGAGCGUAGGUGGAUUGUUAAGUCAGUUGUGAAAGUUUGCGGCUCAACCGUAAAAUUGCAGUUGAAACUGGCAGUCUUGAGUACAGUAGAGGUGGGCGGAAUUCGUGGUGUAGCGGUGAAAUGCGUAGAUAUCACGAAGAACUCCGAUGGCGAAGGCAGUUCACUGGACUGCAACUGACACUGAGGCUCGAAAGUGUGGGUAUCAAACAGGAUUAGAUACCCCAGUAGUC